rnacentral:rRNA from 1 species
AUUGAACGCUGGCGGCAUGCUUUACACAUGCAAGUCGAACGGCAGCGGGGGCUUCGGCCUGCCGGCGAGUGGCGAACGGGUGAGUAAUGCAUCGGAACGUGCCCAUGUCGUGGGGGAUAACGUAUCGAAAGGUACGCUAAUACCGCAUACGUCCUGAGGGAGAAAGCGGGGGAUCUUCGGACCUCGCGCGAUUGGAGCGGCCGAUGUCGGAUUAGCUAGUAGGUGAGGUAAAGGCUCACCUAGGCGACGAUCCGUAGCGGGUCUGAGAGGAUGAUCCGCCACACUGGGACUGAGCCACGGCCCAGACUCCUACGGGAGGCAGCAGUGGGGAAUUUUGGACAAUGGGCGCAAGCCUGAUCCAGCCAUGCCGCGUGAGUGAAGAAGGCCUUCGGGUUGUAAAGCUCUUUCGGCCGGGAAGAAAUCGUGUUCUCUAACAUAGGACAUGGAUGACGGUACCGGACUAAGAAGCACCGGCUAACUACGUGCCAGCAGCCGCAGUAACAC